GCAUAAUAAAUAGUUUUUUAAUUGGAAACUGGAAUGAAUGGUUGAUACUAAAAGGGAUGUUUUAUUUUAUGAUUUUGAAUUUAAAUUAAAAUUAAAAAUGUUUUUAUAAACUCUUGGGACGAGAAGACCCUAGAAGCUUUUAGGUUUUAUCAACUUUUAAUUGGGGCAAUUUUUGAAGAGAAAAAUUUUUGAUACAAUAUAUAAUAUUUUUAAUAUAGUUACUCUAGGGUUAACAGCGUAAUUUAGUUGGUAAGUUCUUAUUGAUAAUUAGGUUUGCGACCUCGAUGUUGAAUUAAUU
rnacentral:rRNA from 1 species